UUGGAAGGGAUAGCUCAGCUGGUAGAGUAUGAGACUCUUAAUCUCAGGGUUGUGGGUUCGAGCCCCAUGUUGGGGAAAA
rnacentral:tRNA from 1 species